ACCCUCCUGUUCCCUUCCUAUUGGAUUCUUGACACUGGUCUUGGUGAUUGUGAAGGAGGAAGGGUGACACCGAAGCUGGCCUCAGCCAUGCAGUCUGGUGUACAUACUGCACGUGGGACUUCUCAGGCUUUUGGCUAAGAUCAAAUGUAG
rnacentral:snoRNA from 1 species